UACGGGGGGGGCAAGCGUUGUUCGGAAUUACUGGGCGUAAAGGGCUCGUAGGUGGCCAACUAAGUCAUACGUGAAAUCCCUCGGCUUAACCGGGGAACUGCGUCUGAUACUGGAUGGCUUGAGGUUGGGAGAGGGAUGCGGAAUUCCAGGUGUAGCGGUGAAAUGCGUAGAUAUCUGGAGGAACACCGGUGGCGAAGGCGGCAUCCUGGACCAACACUGACGCUGAGUGAGCGAAAGCCAGGGGAGCAAACAGG
rnacentral:rRNA from 1 species